rnacentral:lncRNA from 1 species
AAGCUACUUCAAGGAUCCUAAAGAAGUCGGAGAUCGUCCACACUAUCAACUACAACUGCUCGGUAUUUUAUAUCGAAACACGUUUAAGUUAUGGCAUGUAUAGGGAUUCAGUUAUUUUGUAUGUUUGUAGUGAUGAUUUUGCUAAUGAGUGAUGUGUAAGUAUUUGAUGAUGUAUGGUUAUUAAAAUGAUUAAGGAUGAAGGUGUUUG